GACGUAGGGCGCGGAGCGUUGUCCGGAUUCAUUGGGCGUAAAGGGUGCGUAGGCGGCGCGGUAAGUCGGGUGUGAAAUCUCGGGGCUUAACUCCGAAACUGCAUUCGAUACUGCCGUGCUUGAGGACUGGAGAGGAGACUGGAAUUUACGGUGUAGCGGUGAAAUGCGUAGAUAUCGUAAGGAAGACCAGUGGCGAAGGCGGGUCUCUGGACAGUUCCUGACGCUGAGGCACGAAGGUCAGGGGAGCAAACGGG
rnacentral:rRNA from 1 species